AUUGAACGCUGGCGGCAUGCCUUACACAUGCAAGUCGAACGGUAACAGGUCUUCGGAUGCUGACGAGUGGCGAACGGGUGAGUAAUACAUCGGAACGUGCCUAGUAGUGGGGGAUAACUACUCGAAAGAGUGGCUAAUACCGCAUGAGAUCUAUGGAUGAAAGCAGGGGAUCGCAAGACCUUGUGCUUCUAGAGCGGCCGAUGGCAGAGUAGGUAGUGGGUGGGAUAAAAGCUUACCAAGCCGACGAUCUGUAGCUGGUCUGAGAGGACGAUCAGCCACACUGGGACUGAGACACGGCCCAGACUCCUACGGGAGGCAGCAGUGGGGAAUUUUGGACAAUGGGCGCAAGCCUGAUCCAGCAAUGCCGCGUGCAGGAUGAAGGCCAUCGGGUUGUAAACUGCUUUUGUACGGAACGAAAAGGCCCGGGUUAAUACCCUGGGGUCAUGACGGUACCGUAAGAAUAAGCACCGGCUAACUACGUGCCAGCCGCCGCAGUAA
rnacentral:rRNA from 1 species